AAGGAACCCGGUGCGAAUCCGGGGCGGUCCCGCCACUGUGACCGGGUAGCUCAAACCAGCGGGCUCCCGUGGCCGCUGCCGCAGCCGGGGUGGUCCCGCGCCUGCCGGCGGUCGGGGAGCGCGUCGUGGUGGCCACGGCCGCGCGGGCGGCUGGAAGGCCGGGGCGAGCGCUGAUCCGGGAGCCAGGAGACUU
rnacentral:ncRNA from 2 species